AAUCAUCCCUUCGUAAAAUUUACAGACGCCAACACGAGUUAUUGAAUAACCUUUUCACAGAUGAUAACGGAUAUGUUCCUUACAUCGUAACUACAAUCUCAUUCCCUUUUAUGAUUGUGACCUACCAAAUUAGACUUUUACCGGAUUUGUUAUAACAUGAGCAACACGACGGUUGCCACAUGUGGAGCAGGAUCAGCUUACCCUCCCGGAGCACCUGAGAUCACCCCCAGUUGUUGUGAGGUUCGUGUUGCUUAUUCUUUAGUUUUCUAUGUUGUGUCAUGUGUACUAUUGUUUGUCUAUUUGUCUUUUUCAUUUUUAGCAAUGAUGUUGUUAGUUUAUUUUAGAUUUAUGAGUUUGACUGUCCCUCUGGUAUCUUUCGUCCCUCUUUGAUCACGCAUGAAUUGUGUGCAUGUUUUAUUAUUCAAAGAAAAUGUCAACAUUGAAAAUGAAUCAAAGGUAAAAAAAAUCUUUCUUAUGCAGGUAAAACUGAUGAUUAACAUAUAUUUUUGAUCUAUUAAUGAAAUUAAAUAGACAUAGAAGAGUCCAACUGCAUGAGUUACACUAUUUAUUUAUAUCUAUAUUUAUAUUCAUAUCGCUUAUAUGGGCAUCGGUGGUUUUUCGGCAAGUCUACUCUACAGUUAAUGAGAUGGCGUCUAGACUAAAAUACACAUAAAACGAAGCUACAUAUUAUCGAGCUAAUGCUGUAUAUAUUGCUUAUUUUAUAUUUUUUUUAUAAUUUUGAUAAAUGUUUUACAUAGUUAUAAAAUACAUAAAGAAAACAUAGAGGUAUCGAAAAUUGAUAGAACUUAUAUUAGUAAAUGUUUUUAUUUCAGAAAAGUGUCAGUAUAGUACAGAUUUUAUAUGUAGCCCAUUAGGAAUAUUUCAAUACUUGUAUGUAAGCUGUUUAUUUUACAGAGAUUAUACAUAUGGCUCUGGUCUGGCUAUGGCUUAAGGUCUUUAAACAGAGCUGUGUAUAUUCAUAGUUAUGCUUGAUUGUCAAAAUUAUAUGUGUCUUUCAUUUAUAAAAGAAAUGUAAUACAUGACUUUGCUCUUCAUUGGUCCUUUAAUUGGAAUAAAUAUAUCGUUAUCUUUAUACUGAUAUUAGGUAAUGGGUCAAUUAGGAACCAAUAAUCGAGACUACGAACAACUCUAUAUAAAAAGUGUCUUGUUAUGAGAUAUUUUAACAUUAAUUUACUUUAAAUAUUAAGCUGGAUUUCUCAAAGUUUUUCUUUUCUUUGAUGAAAUGAUAUUGUAUAACUGCGUAAUAUCCGUGCUUACAUAUCUAAUAAAGUCUUAUUCCAGAUUAUCAUAAGAUCAUUGCUUUAACAACGAAUCCGAUGUCGGUAAUCAAUAGGUGAUAUUUGACAUUUGGAACACGACAAGAACUACAAAAAGAUGAUAACUAAGCUGCUUUCAAAAUCAAAAUAAUUGUACAUUAAAAUUAAGGUUAUGGUAUCUACAGGCAUGUAAAAAGGUUAAAUGAAG
rnacentral:lncRNA from 1 species